rnacentral:rRNA from 1 species
CCUACGGGCGGCAGCAGUGGGGGAUAUUGCACAAUGGGGGAAACCCUGAUGCAGCGACGCCGCGUGGGUGAAGAAGCGCCUCGGCGCGUAAAGCCCUGUCAGCAGGGAAGAAAAUGAAGGUACCUGAAGAAGAAGCCCCGGCUAACUACGUGCCAGCAGCCGCGGUAAUACGUAGGAGGCAAGCGUUAUCCGGAUUUACUGGGUGUAAAGGGGGCGCAGACGGGGAUGCAAGCCAGGAGUGAAAGCCCGGGGCCCAACCCUGGGACUGCUCUUGGAACUGCGUGGCUAGAGUGCAGGAGGGGCAGGCGGAAUUCCUGGUGUAGCGGUGAAAUGCGUAGAUAUCAGGAGGAACACCGGUGGCGAAGGCGGCCUGCUGGACUGCAACUGACGUUGAGGCCCGUAAGCGUGGGGAGCAAACAGGAUUAGAUACCCGGGUAGUC